ACCAAGAACUGCUGGUAACUGAACCUCUGAACCUGCUCAUCAUCUGGGUAGUGAAGAAAUAGGUGACGGCAGAUAGGCCAGCCCUUUUGAGCAGCUUCCUGUUUUGCGCAUGCAACAUAAGAGUACAACCAAAGAGACAGCAAGAGGUUGCAGAUUUUGACUUACCUCAUGAGUCCGGAAAACGAUGGUGAAUGCAUUUAGCUCCAUCCAUCUCAAAAGCAGCUCUUCACUUCGAUGAUACUUAAUAAUUGGUAAGUUUAUGGCACAGUAACCUCCAAUAUCACUAUGGUUAAAAGCAUACCCAGAAAGUCCACUGCUCAAUAGGCCAACAACAGAACUCUUUAUCCCAUCAUUAGCUUGCCAGCUUACCAUUUGGUCCCCUUCCCAAAACAGCAUCCCCCAUCUAGGACUAUUCCUGAAACCAGCCCUCAUGAAGAAGACUAAGCCCUCUUCUGGGUCUUCUCUCUCAUUUCCCACAUGAUUACUUUUCCAUUCUUCCACAAAUUCACGAUUUAUUUGAGCCCAUAGUUCUGGGUAUCUGUUAUGAGCAGAAAUAGGAUCUUCACCUGGAAAUGUUGAGUAUAUUAUACUUACUGAUAUAGUUCAACAGGCAAAUGUUAGGAAAAAAGGAGAGGACAGGGUUCAGAAAGAGUUCAUAUGAUUAUCAUGUAAACAUCUGAUGUGUUAAGGGGAUUAUGCUGGCACCUCAUGCCAAUAACUUGCUACUUUAUUGCACUUUGCAAGGAAGGAUGCAAAUGAUUUGACAAUAUUGAACACAGAAUGGUUA